rnacentral:snRNA from 1 species
UCAGGCGGGAUUACCCGCUG